UACAGAGGUCCCAAGCGUUGUUCGGAUUCACUGGGCGUAAAGGGUGCGUAGGUGGUGAGGAAAGUCGGAUGUGAAAUCUCCGGGCUUAACCCGGAAAUGGCAUUGGAAACUACCUUGCUAGAGGUUUUGAGGGGGGACUGGAAUUCUCGGUGUAGCAGUGAAAUGCGUAGAUAUCGAGAGGAACACCUGCGGCGAAGGCGGGUUGCUGGGCUGACACUGACGCUGAUGCGCGAAAGCUAGGGGAGCGAACGGG
rnacentral:rRNA from 1 species